AGAGUUUGAUCCUGGCUCAGAACGAACGCUGGCGGCGUGCUUAACACAUGCAAGUCGAACGCGAAAAUUUUCCUCGGAAAGUGAGUAGAGUGGCGCACGGGUGAGUAACGCGUAAGUUAUCUACCUCGGCAUCCGGAAUAACUCACCGAAAGGUGUGCUAAUACCGGAUACGUUGAGUAAUCAAGAAAGGUGGCCUCUGAAUAUGCUACUGUGCUGAGAUGAGCUUGCGUACCAUUAGCUAGUUGGUAGGGUAAUGGCCUACCAAGGCAACGAUGGUUAGCGGGUCUGAGAGGAUGAUCCGCCACACUGGAACUGAAACACGGACCAGACUCCUACGGGAGGCAGCAGUGAGGAAUAUUGCGCAAUGGGCGAAAGCCUGACGCAGCCAUGCCGCGUGAAUGAUGAAGGUCUUAGGAUUGUAAAAUUCUUUCACCGGGGACGAUAAUGACGGUACCCGGGGAAGAAGCCCCGGCUAACUUCGUGCCAGCAGCCGCGGUAAUACGAAGGGGGCUAGCGUUGCUCGGAAUUACUGGGCGUAAAGGGAGCGUAGGCGGACAUUUAAGUCAGGGGUGAAAUCCCGGGGCUCAACCUCGGAAUUGCCUUUGAUACUGGGUGUCUUGAGUGUGAGAGAGGUAUGUGGAACUCCGAGUGUAGAGGUGAAAUUCGUAGAUAUUCGGAAGAACACCAGUGGCGAAGGCGACAUACUGGCUCAUUACUGACGCUGAGGCUCGAAAGCGUGGGGAGCAAACAGGAUUAGAUACCCUGGUAGUCC
rnacentral:rRNA from 1 species